rnacentral:rRNA from 1 species
CGUGGUUUGGGCAACCCCGCGACAGUUCGGGAAGUCCGUGAUCUCACGGCAGAAUUUGCGUCGGCCGUGCUGUGCUUAGUAGAAACUCAAUUGUCGAGUGCACGUGUCGAGAAUUUAGCACAAUCCUUUGGAUAUGAUAGAUCCUUUGCUGUUAGUAGUUCGGGGCGGAGUGGAGGUCUUAUAAUCUUCUGGAAUGAAUCAAUAAAGUUAGAAGUUACUGGCUACUUGAAAUACCAUAUAGAUACUAAUAUAUCAGAUCUUGGACCUUCGCCUUGGAGGUUAACUUGUGUGUAUGGAGAAGCACAGGUGGCGGAACGAUACAAAACAUGGGACACGCUGUGUUCUAUUUUGGCAUCUUCAACGCUGCCUUGGACAGUGUUGGGAGAUUUUAAUGAAGUUCUAAUUCAGACAGAACACGAAGGAGUUAACUUGAGAGGCCAAGGUCAGAUGGAGGGAUUCAGGGAUGCCCUGUAUGUUUGUGGCUUGAUGGAUUUAGGCCACAAAGGAAGAUGGUGGACUUUUGAGAAGAGGGUUGCGGGUGGGACAUAUACAAGAGUCCGCCUCGACCGAGCAGUCGCAGAUGCAGCGUGGAGUUCUGUUUUUCCGUUCGCGGAAGUGAGCAACAAGACUGCAACUUGUUCUGAUCAUGGGCCUAUAGUGCUGAAGCUAACAGAUGAUGAGGAUGCGAGGAGGAAGCCGAAGAGCUUCAAGUACGAAGUAAUGUGGGAGAGACACCCAGAGUUACAUCCCUUCAUAGAAACGAACUGGAAUGGUAAACCGAAGGGUUUUUCAGCAAUUGAGGUCAGGGAUAAACUCAAAGAUCUCAGUGAAAACUUGUACAGCUAG